UGCUAGGCAAAAAGUGACACCGACCUGCCCAGCGUAUAAAUAAAGCGCCACUGUGGUUGAGCAGUUCCCUUCCUCCCACCCAGAUGGAGGGCUCCACUGACCUCGGCCUUCUGUCUCCUACCUUCAUCCUCCAUCCUCCCGCAGUCCUUGCCCUGGGAACUUUGAGAGCCUUGACGAUGGGGCCUGAACACAGGGAAUCGAACUCACGACCUCGCGCUUGUCAGGUGCCAGGCCUCUCGCUGAAGGACACGCUGCAAUACACAGAUUGCUAACUGUCGUCACAGUUACUCUGUGGGAGUCGGUGGUCUCUCCGAGGUCCCCGGGAGAAAAUGGAUACUUUUUUCAGUACUGAGGUAGCUUGACUGCCUGAAGCACUGUGGAUCCGUCCCACCCUCAGACAGAUGACCAACAACCAACUCCAGUGGCUCCCAACAUCUCUCCUCAGAGCCAUUCAACAGGCUUCUGCCGCCCAUGCCACCUUUCAUCAAAAUGCUUCUGCCUUAAGCAAACAGUUCCUUUUAACAGGUGAAUAGGCUCGACAAAUUGUUAAACGAUGUUCCUCAUUCAUAAUACAUUUUCUCUCACCGUG